rnacentral:tRNA from 1 species
GCCGGUGUAGCUCAGGUGGUUAGAGCACGUGACUCAUAUUCACGGAGUCGGGGGUUCGAGUCCCUCCACCGGCACCA